UAAAGGCCACACAGUCUCCACCAGCAGUAAAGGCCACACAGUCUCCACCAGCAGUAAAGGCCACACAGUCUCCACCAGCAGUAAAGGCCACACAGUCUCCACCAGCAGUAAAGGCCACAUAGUCUCCACCAGCAGUAAAGGCCACAUAGUCUCCACCAGCAGUAAAGGCCACACAGUCUCCACCAGCAGUAAAGGCCACACAGUCUCCACCAGCAGUUAAGGCCACACAGUCUCCACCAGCAGUUAAGGCCACACAGUCUCCACCAGCAAUUAAGGCCACAUUCUUCACCAGCAGGCCACCACCAGGAGUCACCAGCCCUAACACAGUCACCCAGGAGUCACCAGCCCUAAGACUGUCUUCCAGGAGUCACCAGCCCUAAGACUGUUAUCCAGGAAUCAUCCGGAGUUAGUUUGGAGUUCUGAAAUUUUGAAAGAAACGUCAACUCGAAGGAAGAGACGACAUCGCUAAGCAGAAGUCAACGCCAAUUGAAUGACGUCAAAGCCAAAGAAGGUAAGUUUAUGCCCAAGGAAAUGACGUCAACGCCAGGUAACAGACGUCACCGCUACACAGCAUCAUGGAGUGAAAUAGAACCAAAGUGGAGUGGUCGUGGGCGUUUAU